UCCCUGGAGGACUAGAGGUUAGGCCACAGGCCUGUCAUUCCUGUGGCCUGGAUUCGAUUCCUGGCCAGGGAA
rnacentral:tRNA from 1 species